GAAAUGCGAUAAGUAAUGUGAAUUGCAGAAUUCAGUGAAUCAUCGAAUCUUUGAACGCACCUUGCGCUCCUUGGUAUUCCGAGGAGCAUGCCUGUUUGAGUGUCAUGAAUCCCUCAAACCCCUCAGGUUUUGAAACAAAAGCCUGGGCUUGGGUUUGGAUGUGUGGGUGCCCUGCCAUCUUGUAUGGCUCACCCCAAAUGCAUUAGCUGGACUACCCGCUGAACUUAA
rnacentral:misc_RNA from 1 species